ensembl:snRNA U2 U2 spliceosomal RNA
AUCGCUUCUUGGCCUUUUGGCUAAGAUCAAGUGUAGUAUCUGUUCUUAUCAGUUUAAAAUGAAUGGGCAAGAUCUAUAAGGAAAUGAGGAAAUGCUUAUGACAAGAUGUUAAAUAACAGGAAAACAGAACUGACACACAGACAUAUUACAUUUAAGUAACAAUCCCAA